AGUGAACGCUGGCGGUAGGCCUAACACAUGCAAGUCGAACGGCAGCACAGUAAGAGCUUGCUCUUACGGGUGGCGAGUGGCGGACGGGUGAGGAAUACAUCGGAAUCUACUUUUUCGUGGGGGAUAACGUAGGGAAACUUACGCUAAUACCGCAUACGACCUACGGGUGAAAGCAGGGGAUCUUCGGACCUUGCGCGAUUGAAUGAGCCGAUGUCGGAUUAGCUAGUUGGCGGGGUAAAGGCCCACCAAGGCGACGAUCCGUAGCUGGUCUGAGAGGAUGAUCAGCCACACUGGAACUGAGACACGGUCCAGACUCCUACGGGAGGCAGCAGUGGGGAAUAUUGGACAAAGGGCGCAAGCCUGAUCCAGCCAUACCGCGUGAGUGAAGAAGGCCUUCGGGUUGUAAAGCCCUUUUGUUGGGAAAGAAGAGCAGCAGGUUAAUACCCCGCUGUUCUGACGGUACCCAAAGAAUAAGCACCGGCUAACUUCGUG
rnacentral:rRNA from 1 species